rnacentral:lncRNA from 1 species
GUCAUGAAAUUGAAGAGAUCAGAGUUCGGGCACUGAACAAUAUUCUCAUGAAAUUGAACUGUCAUGUCCUGACAGUUGAGGAUUUGACCGAAAAUCAUGAAUUGUUCAUAAAACUCAUCAAUUGGUUCAAGUUUCCAGUAUGUCCGGAAAAGGAAAAAGUAUUGGAAUUUAUAUUAACUCUAGCAAAGACAGAAACAGGCAGAUUGAAAAUUUUAGAAAUUGAUCCAAGAUUGAAGUUUCUUCGAGACUUUGACAUCACUGCCAGCGAAAGGAAACUUUCAACUCUUAUAUCAAGCGUCAUCUUUGCAUUAGAAUAUACAAGUUAUCCUCCAACUGGACAAAGCAAAGUACAAAGGCCUAGUCUGCAUUCAGCGCCCUCCUCAGGGAGAUCCAGUUAUAGUGAAAAAUACGAAUACCAAUUCAACCAGGAUGCUGGAAGCAAUCAAGAAAACAAAUUAUCCUCUGAUAUAGGACCUGAGGCAUCUCUAUAUACUAAGCAGAAAUCUCCUCAGUUUAGCGAUGAUGAUCCAAAUUAUGUAAAAUUUACCAGUAGCAAGGCGAAUCAGUUUUUCAAUCAAAAAUCUUCCACCCAUAGUUGUGGAAAUGUAAAACCGUACAAUCACCCUGAUAUGUUGCAUGCAGAUUUUUCCUCCUCCUUUCAUAGAGAUAAGUACUUUCAUACAGGAUGUAGAGAGGAAAUUCAUGUGAACGCUAGUUGCAGAGAUUAUCCUGUACCCCCGAGAAAUAUGAAAUCACAUACUGGUUUUAGAUACGAAGACCCUCCUCUCAGGAAUGAUUUCAGUGAAGAUAUCUCUAUGCAUAAUCUAAGAACUUCAGAAUUCCCUUUCAAUUUUCGAAGUGAAGAGUCCUCCCGUAAAUAUCUUGCAAGUGAGCGACCUCAGUCCAACGCUUCUAGGGGUGGAGACCCUGCAGUAACGAAUACUAGAAAUGAAAACCCACCAUCUUAUGAAACAAAAGAAGAUGCCGUCAACCAAAACUAUGGGAACACUCAAGAAUAUUAAGUCGCGAUUUCAGCCGAGGGAUCCUGUCUGCCGUGGUUUUGAAGAAAAUAUGAAGCCCAUGAACUACGAUCAACACCACAGACCGUAUCCUGGAUUAGAAGAGUCAGUUUCAACAAACCUAAGAUUUUCUCCAGUCCAAGCGAAGCCCAGUCGACCAAUGAGCUCAGAAAGUCAAAGUAUUAAUUCAGUGCACAGGGAAGAUGUCUCCUCUAAGAAACAAAAAAGUGACCCAGCUAUUUUCUCAGUUUCCGAAAGACCCAAUUUAUAUCAGCAGAACAGGGAUGCAUGCUUGGAAGCAGGGCCAUUCUCAGCAAGAUCUUCUAGAUCAUCGAAGACUGCAAAAUCAAAAAGCUCAAUAGAAGGUAAAAGCUCUUUAAAAUGCUCUCAAUAAAAGCUCUUUAGUCGAAUCAUUUAUCAGACUCUUCUCAGCAGUAACAGUCAGUAUGAAUCCUCAAAUCGAUAGCUAAAGUUGAAUAAUGUGUAUCUCUGAUUUUUACUUUGCAAGUAUCCACCUAGGUUUUAUUUCGUUAAAAGAAAACUAAUGAGUGGGUUUUUCCUCAAAAUUUCUGUCUAUUUUUUUCCUUUUCAAAGUGAAAGCCUG